GUUGAUGUCACUGCCAAGCUGCUCUCCAUCCUAUUUGAAGAGUCAUGGCUGUUAGGUGAAGUCCCUUGUCUUGCAGUGUCCCUUGCAAUGUGCCUUGCAUUUAAGAGAUAUCUCAAUGUAUUCUUUGUUCACAUGAGAAAACUCCCUUUAUCACUGUAACAAUAAUUGUUGGAUAGACCAACCAAAUUAAAAGAACCAAAUAAGUCCUGCUGACUUCACAGGUUGAAAGGGUUUCAUUCAGUCCACAGAAUCUGGCUAAACAAAAUUAUCGUGUAGGUUGGUUAAAAAUGCUUAGCAGGAGAUAGAUAUUAUGUGACCUGAGUGCCUUUAAUUAGACAAAGCAACACAUUUAGUUACCAGCUCUUUAUUAUCCAUGAGGCAUACCACCUCUGCACAUCUCAUCCUCAACUUACUGCACAAAGUAGUUGAGUUUGGAGGAAGAUCUUCUCCCUGUUGUUUUGCCCUGGGCCAUCUUACUCCCUUAAAACAAGGUUGCUUUCAUGUAUUUAGCAGCUGUUUUGAACAGCAAGUCCAAUGGAUGGUGAAAUAUUAACCAGCUGCCCACUGCCCCCUUUAUUAACAAAGGAUAGUUGGAUCAGUCAUUAACCCUUCAGCCUGAUAUUUGAAGCCUUGGGCUUAACAUUCUGAGGGUGAGGCCUAGCCAUGCUCAAGUGAGGGUUGUGAGACUGAUCCUUGAAGUUCAAUCACUGCACCACUGCCACAGCUGGUGGCCAGCUCCCAGAAAGAAAGAGGAAACUGAAGAGCUGUGUGAUUUCAUGAGAAGUAUCAUAAAUCAGUGAGAUUACCCUUUGUACAUCGGAUACUGCAUUUUGCUGGUGCUUUAAAUGUCUAGAAGUGAACGGCCCUGUUUUCUCUUGGAGGAACUUCAAGCAUGUUACGAGCUGACUUUCAGGCCCUUCAGAAAUUCCUCAGAAAGAGGAAUUCACAGAACAGAUUGCUGCAGUCCUGUCCCUUGCCUUGCAAAUUGCUUAAAUGGUUGCACUGAGAUUAUCUUCCCUAGCAUGUGUGGAAGUAUGCAGUACAACAAAUCUGAUCUGAAGUAGUUUUGAAUAGAACAGGCAGUUUGCUUAUGGCACCUGGUCAAAUGAAAUUAGUCAUGUCCGACACCCCGAGGUCUGGAAAUGCUCACAAACAAAACUAACAGAAGGAAAACACACAGCGACUCAAUGCAGAUUUAAAGAUUUAAAGACAGAUUUUAAGCCCCUGACCACUUGUUUGUUAAUUGGUUUCCAGCAGAGAAUAAUGACAGCACAGCCUCCCCUCCCAGCACAGCCUCAUCUGCCUGUUCAAAGCACAGUGAAUUUGUCCUAAGGUACAGCCACCAUUUUCUCCACACAGUAAAAAAACAGCCCUUUAAAUGUGGAAAAUUUUAAAUGGGCCAGAACUUAAAAUGCAAUUUAAUUUAAAUACGCGUUCAAUCCAACAGCCUAAUCAUUGAGCAUCUUGAAAGAGCUUUAGGGCUCAUUUAACCAGGAGUUUUUACAGGUCGUCUAACUAAUAGCAGUCUUCAAGGCAUUAAACAAUUUUAAUGGAGUCUGAGAUCUGUAAAGGUGUUCAUUAACACGGUUCAAACAAAUAUCUCUAUCAGGCAGUACGUGGGACCAAUCCAUUCUAGAUCUCAUGGUGAUGGCACAGAGUGCACCCUUGGUGUUUGUUCAUGAUACCAAAUUGGGUGGAGUGGCAAAUAAACUGGAGGGCUGUGCUGCCAUUCAGAGAGACCUGGACAGGCUGAGAACUGGACAGAAAAUAACAUCAUGAAGUUCCACAAGAGCAAGUGUAGAGACUUGCACCUGGGGAGGAAUAAUUGCAUGCAUCAGUACAGGUUAGGAGCUGACCUGCUGCAGUGGAGCUCUGCAGAGGACUUGGGUGUCUUGGUGUAGGGAAACUGUUAUGGCACAACCUGAACUGAUGAAUGAGCACUUGGUGAAGGGGUGGCCAGCCCAGGAAGCAGAGGUGCAAGCAAUUCACCUCUGCUUCCCAUGUAACUCCAUCCCUCCCUGGGCUCAUUUAAGGGCUAUCCUCUGGAAGGAGAAUGUUUCUUGGGUGAAGGUCACUUCCUGAGAAGGGGUGUGUUAUAGCUAGAGACCUGUAGAGCCAGUUGGGUGUGUUAACUUUUUCUUAUAUGUGAUUAUUGAUAUUUCUAGGAGUACCAUCUGCAGUACUGCAUCCAAGCCUGGGGCCCCCAGUACAAGAAGGAUGUGGAGCUCUUGGAGCAGGUUCAGAGGAGGGACACUAAGAUGAUCAGAGGGAUGGAGCACCUCUACUAUGAGGGAAGGUUGAAGGAAUCGGGAUUGUUUAACUUGGAGAAGAGAAGGCUCUGGAGAGACCUCAUUGUGGCCUUACAGUACUUGAAGGCAGCCUAGAAGCAGGAGGGGGAAUGGCUGUUUACAAAGGCAGACAAGGGACUCGAGUGAGCCCAGCAAAGGACUAUGAAGAUGAUUAAGGGCCUGGAGCAUCUGUAAUGCAAAGAGAGGUUGGGAGAAUUGUGCUUGUCCAGCCUGGAGAAGACUGAGAGAGGCACUUAUGAAUGUAGCCUAGAUGAUCCCAAGUGGUUCCUUCCAAUCUCAACCAUUCUGUGACUUUUAUUUUUUCUGAUGAAUCAGAGGAAGGCUGGGAAAAAAACAAAAACUGCUGAGGGGGCAGGAGAGCAACCUCACACCAGCAGCCACUGUGCCCACUACCAUUUCCCGUCUGUCUGUCCUGCGGUUGUUGUGCAGUGUGAGGCUUUUGAAGUCCAGAGAGUUCAGACCGAGUCAGUCUGUGCUACACAGGUUCUCAUGUUCAUGUUAUUCUUGCAUGGUUCUGCUUAUCCAAGGGGGUGGAAGGCCAAAAGGUUGUCCUAAGUCCUUAAGGAGCAAGAAUUAUGGAGAAAUGUAAUACCAGUUCCAAAUGUCUUAAUCACUAAAACCUGUGCCUUUGUCCCGUCCUCUGUCUUUGGGAACAUGCUUGGCUGAUGGAGACACAUGUAUGCCUACCUUCACUGCUUCUUCUGGACAAUGAAUCUGGGGGAAGAGCAAGCUGGACUCCGUGCAAAAUAGGUUAUGUAUCACCUUGUACUCAAGACCCCUCCAUUAAAUCAUCUUUGCACUCUUUGCAAGCACUCCCUACAUCCCACGCCAUGCACCUUAGAUUCUCAUUAGCAGAUCAGAGUGAAGAGAUUCAAGUACUUAUUGGUGCUGGAAGAAAUGGAGGAGACUGGAGCCUUAAAGCUGCAUAGGAUGCUUCCAAUGACACCAUGGAUAAGCACAGCCUGCCAGCCGAGUGCCACCCUUGAGAAGACAUCAAAGAUGAACAAACAAGAGCCAGAGGGUGAUUGAUAGGGCAGGAACUUCUACACCCAGUUUUCUGCCAAAGGAAACGUGCCAGGUUGAUCUUUAGAGACACUAAAAGCAACGAGGUGCUCUGAAGAAAGGAGCAGUAAACACUGUGAAGCAGGCAUUGACAGAAGAGGUGUCUACUGACUGGUGCAACUAGCUUUUCAGAUGUGCACUGGGGGAACUGGGAAGGUCUGUGGUUGACUCUUGGAGAUGACUGGGGAGAAGCAGAGGGGAAGAACCAGUAGGACUGCUCUAAUCUAGGACUGUUCUGUCUGCUGGCCUUCAAUAGGUAAGCUGAAGGAAAUACUGCAACAGUCAUAAAUACUCCUUUCUAAGCAAUGUGGAUUUCCUUUUCUUAUUUUUUAAUCUCUGAGAAUAAAACAUGCUCCAAAACUCAGAAACCCAGGGCAAAAUCUGUCGGUGUUUUCAAGUGCUGGACUUGCCAUGUGCUCCUGUAGAUAGAUAUCUAUGUGGCUCCAAAAACUCACUACCUACCCUGGACUGCUCUUAGUGCAUUUAAGUCAUCCCUGGGAGCUGUGCCACUGCUUCCAAGAAGGACUAAGAGACAGAGACAGGUCUCAUUCUGCUUAAAUUCAGAUAUGUAACAUUUACUACCUAAAUAUCAGCUGCUUUUCUGGGCAAUAAACUUCUUAUCUAAUUUUAACAUUCACCUUUAGAAUCAUAGAAUCAUUUGAGGCAAUGUGGGCAGCACCACAGCAGAUCCAACCCAACAUGCCAAAAUUUGCUGUCAUACGCCAGUUACAGAUCUAAUUAAAACACAGCUCCAUAGAGAUAUUUGCAGUCUAUCAGUAAGAUUGCCUGCAGAGAAUAAGCAGUGUGUUUUGGAGUUCCCUCUGCAAGAGUACUUGAUGUGGGGGGUGCUUGCUGUGUGGGGAAUUACCCUGACUUCAGUCAUGCAGCAACACGAUGGUAGACUGAAACAGCUUCCCUCUUGUGGAAGAAUUCCUGCUUUCUUGAAUCACUUGAGGCAAUAAAUAAUGACUUUGAACAUUACAUCUUUAAGACUGCUAAAUAUGUGGGAAAAUUACAAAUAUUCAGCUUUUAUCCUAUGCAAGUCCUCCAAGGCUGUAUGUCAUGCAUUUACUGAGUGGUAACAAGGGGAAGAAUACUCACAUGCUAUGUCCCCUUGCUGUGUACAAGAAGUUAUGCCACACGGUUCUGUGGGCAUGGUGGGGAUGGAUUGACGGUUGGACUAGAUGAUCUAAGUAGUCUUUUCCAACUUAUAUGAUUCUAUUCUAUUAUUCUGUGACACUAUUUGUGCAGACACGAAUUCACACUAACGUUGCUGAAAUAGGAACUCCCCAGUUAGGAACCUGAAGGGAAUCAGCAACUAGCAAGUCACCCAAGCCACAGAGCAGUGGAGUUUGCUCCAUGAGACAUGUCCACUGGGAGCUUAAAGGCAGGAAA